rnacentral:siRNA from 1 species
ACUUUGAACCGAACAGGGCCAA